GUGCCAGUGAACAAUAGACUACGGUGUUAGCAGCAUUCAGUCCAAUUCAUAGAAACACGGGAUUAAACCGUUUUCUGUGAAAUAGUCGUAAACUGAGGUAUCAUCUUCUGAAUAAAGGCCUGAUUCUUCUAAAAUUGCCCUGAGCUGGAAAUGAGACACUUUCCGCCUAUUAUCUUAUUAGUAUGUUUCAUGGGCACUUCUACUGAAAAUUUGUCAAGAAACAAAGAGGAUUCAUUGAAUGAGAUAUUGACUGUCGAGUCUAAAUUACAAAAUAAUGGCGCGGCUUUGGAGCAUGACAGAUUUGCCCGUCAUGCGGAAAUGGAAAUGACAGUGACAGAAUCAAUAAUCAAUCAUCUCAUGAAAGAACUCGGGCGACGCUACCCCCAGGCGAAGAAACAACCCAAAUCAUUGAAAAAGGUCAUCAGAAAUCUCUAUCAGAAACUAGAAAGCUAUGUUCACGUGAAGAAACCACUACGCACGAGAGUAACUGAAGGAAUUAAUGGAAAUAAAGGAAGAAAAGGAAAGAAAGGAAGGAAAACGAAAAGGAUACGUAAA